AAACGGGUUUAGUUUGUUUUCAGAUCUGUCUCAUUCCUUUUUAAUAUUUUUCUAUGUAUUGUGGAACAGUUUGUUUCUUCGUUUUGGUAAAUUGUGUGUUGCCUGCUUUGUUUCCUUAUAUGGGAAAUGCUUUACCCUUUCUUCCUUUCAUCUAAUACCUUCUUCUUUGGGACAUAGAAAUUGACAGAAGAGAGUGAGCACACAGAGGCACUUGUAUAAGGCUAUACUUCUGCUUUUGCGUGCUCACUUCUCUUUCUGUCAGUUUCCAGUGCCGGAAUUUGAUCUUAAUUUCCUUUUGGUCACUUCUCGGCCUGUUUUGUUCCACGCUUUCUACUCUUAUCUCUUGUCUUGUCUCGCUUAUUAUCAAAUAACUUUCCCCCAUUUCCCUCUCUCUCUCUCUAUAAUUAUUGAUUAAUCACAUGUGAUCUUCCCUCUCCUCUGGGACUGGGACUAGUUAAUUUAGACGCCAGCAAAAAUACUCUACUCUGGGAAUAUGGUCUAUGUCUGACUGUGUCUCUCUCUCUUUUCUUUUUUCUUUUUUUUUUUUCUAUUUAAAAUGUUUAAUUUAUGUUUUAAAUUCAAUAAAUAGCAUCAAAGCGUGACUUUUGAUGUUAUUGACUAUGCCUGAUCACUGUGCGGAUUUAACGGCAAGACUAUGAAUAGUAUAGGACCAUUCAUGUUAUUAAUUGCCUAUUAGUAGCUAUAGCUAGUAUGGUCCUCCAACUAACCCUCUUUCUUUUCUUUUUCGGGUUUGUUUCUUGUUAUUGUUUCUGCUAUCCUCUUCGGUUUUUCUUUCCUUUUUUAAUUCCUGCGCAUGCGAUCAUAGUCAGUACCCAGAAAUCGUCCUGCUUGGAGCUUGCUUUCACCUGAAUCUAGCAGAAUCUGGUUGCUUUCACUGAUCUCAGUUGCAAAUGGAGGUUUCUAUUCGUCUUUAUUAUUUCCUGUAUAUCCUAAAACAUCAGUUGGAUUGUAUCAAGGUAAAGAGUUGCAUGCAAUCAACAAUUCUCAAGCACUCUUUUAUUUUUAUUUUUUAUUUUUGUAUAACUACAAGUGUUCUCAUGGUUUUACAGGAAUCUAAUCUUGUUCUGGCCGGGUUGGUAUGCAGCGGACGACUGUGAAUGGAUGGAGUUCUCUCAUUUGGUUUUAUGGGGAUAUCACCAUCAUACACCAAACACUGAAAUGCUCAAAUCUGAUUUCAAGGCUUCAAAGCAAUACUGUAGCAGGAGUGUCCAAGAAUGUUAUUGAAUGCCAUGGAAGAGGAUAUAUGCAAAGAAUAUGAGGAUAGUGGGAGCCAUAGCAUAUGAUUUGUACGACCCGUGGGACUCUAGCACAAGAGACGUCAAGUCCAUUAUUGCUUUCUCCAAUUCGAUCUUAUCUUCUUGGCCUUCUAGUAUAGUAAUUUUUAUAUUUACAGUCAAAGCAACCGUUAUUAUUCUACUCUUUUAUUUUACAGUUAAGUUGUCCGCUUUUUCUGCUUUAACCCCUUUUUUGUAUAAAAAAAAAAAAUUGGUGUAAUAGAGACGGCUUUUUUACGUAAUAAUCCAAAAUAAUAAUUAAAUAUCAAAA